rnacentral:lncRNA from 1 species
CUCACCCAACCCCCGGUGAGGAAUACGAAAAACUCUAUGAGCCCCUAUCCUACAACCCUGAUACUAUACCUCCAGACUUUCCUAUCAAGGGUCAUGUCCUCGGAAACCCGCAUUCUAGCCAUGUCAUGCCUAAUCACCUCUCCCCAAUACUUCAUAGGCCUCCCUCUGCCUCGUCGAACGCCGACAAUCGCCAGCCGCUCACAACUCCUCACAUUCUCCUCUGCACAUGCCCAAACCACCUCAGCCUCGCUUCUCGCAUCUUCUCAUCCACCGAGGCCACCUCCACCUUCUCUCGAAUAACUUCAUUCUUAAUCUUAUCUAUCCUGGUGAGCCCGCACAUCCACCUGAGCAUC